CGUGAGUGCUCAGUGCCGGGGAGGGAGCCGGGCCGGCCUGGGAGCCGUCACCAGGGUAACCGGCCUGCGGGAGCAGCAUCCUUGCUCUGGAGCAUCGCAGGCGGCAGGUUUUCUAAGAUGUCCUCAGAUAUAAAAGACGUCGGUGUGUGGGCACAGACGAGAACGCUCCUGUACAAAAAUUACCUUGUGAAAUGUAGGACAAAGAAGGACACGUUGCAGGAAAUCCUCUACCCCAUCAUCUGGUCUCUGAUAUGGCUGCUGCUUGUCUUGGUUAUGCCGAACAAACAUUAUGAAGCAACACCGAACGAUAUUCUUAAUGAGUUGGACGUCAGCCAUGUCUUCGCUGUUGGAUACACUCCGGCUACUAAUGUGACAGAGAACAUCAUGAUGUUGGCGUCCCAUCACUGUCUUGGCUCAGAUGUGGAUAUAAUUCACUUUCGUAAUGAAGACGAGUUGAAAUCAGCCAGCGCCUCCUAUUCACAUUUCGUCGGUGUCAAAUUUGAGAACUCCAUGUCCUACAAGCUCAUGUUUUUUCCUUUUCACUUCCCAAAGCCUACUCCAUACAUACAAGACUGUUAUUCUUCAAAGUGUGACUCCGUACAGUACCAUUAUUCAGGAUUCACGCGGAUACAAGCCUGUAUAGACUCUGCCAUUAUAAAGAUGAAAACCAACCAUUCGGCCUGGGAGGAGCUGAUGACUACAAAAUCCAUGAUCAUGGAGAAGAAGCCAGUAGUUGAGGUGGACGGCUUCUACCAUGCCCUCAUGUCGAUAUGCCUGGUGAUGGCAUUCUCACCCUUUGGGUGUUCUCCGGCAGCUUAUAUUGUGGCUGAAAAAGAGAAAAAGCUGAAAGAAUUCAUGAAGAUACUGGGGCUCCACGACACCGCCUUCUGGCUGCCCUGGGUGCUGUUGUACAUCCUUCUGAUUCUCCUCAUCUCUUUGCUGAUGGCUUUCAUAACCACAGUCUUCACCCCGUUCAAGCACAGCAGCUGGUUCCUGAUCUUCUUGCUGUAUGCACUUUACGGGAUCUCUCUGAUCUUAUUUGCUCUGAUGCUAACCCCACUUUUUAAAAAGGCCAAGCAGGCGGGCGCUAUAGCGUUCCUGGCCACAUUGGUCCUUGGCGCUCUGGGCAUUUUCAUUGUGAUGAAAGGCGACUUCCCAAAGUCCUUUGUGUGGUUCUUUAGUCCGUUCUGCCAGUGCACAUUCAUGAUUGGGAUAGCCCAGGUCAUGUUUCUAGAGGCCCAUGGGAAAGGCGCCCAGCUGUUUAACCUGAAGGAUGGGCCUUACCCCCUCAUCAUCACCUUCAUCUUCCUCGUAGUGGACAGCGUCAUGUAUCUGCUUCUGGCUUCCUAUCUGGAUCAGAUUCUUCCCAGCGAGUAUGGACUGAAGCGGAAGCCUCUUUUCUUCCUAAAACCCUCUUACUGGUCAAAGAAGAGGAGGAACUAUGGCGUGCUGAGCGAAAGCUUCUUCAGCACAAAUACAGACCUCAGCGAUAUUGUAGAGCCCGUGGCCUUAGGGCUGCAUGGGAAAGAAGCGAUCAGAAUUAAAAAUAUUCAUAAAUCCUUCAAGAAGGAAAAUCGACAAAUAGAAGCCUUACAAGGGUUAACCUUGGAUAUAUACGAAGGUCAGAUAACCGCGCUGCUCGGCCACAGUGGCACUGGGAAGACAACGCUGAUGAAUAUUUUAUGCGGGCUCUGUCCUCCAUCAGAAGGCAUAGCUUCUAUCUACGGUCACAGGGUCACAGAUAUAGACGAGAUCCUGGACAUCAGGAAGGUUAUUGGCGUCUGCCAGCAGUGCGAUAUCCAUUUCGAGGUCCUGACAGUGGAAGAGAAUCUCUCCAUCUUCGCCUCUCUGAAGGGAAUAAGUGAAACUGUCAAGGAGCAGGAGAUAAAUAAAGUUCUGCACGAUCUGGAUAUGGACGCAGUGAAGCACAACCAGGUGAAGAGGCUGAGCGCCGGGCAGAGGAGGAAGCUGGCCGUGGCCAUUGCUAUUUUGGGUGACCCCAAGGUGCUUCUUCUGGAUGAGCCCACCGCCGGCAUGGACUCGUGCUCACGUUAUACCGUCUGGAAUGUACUGAAGAAGAGGAAAGCAAACAGUGUGAUUGUGUUCAGCUCUCACUGUAUGGAGGAGGCAGACAUCCUGGCAGACCGGAAGGCUGUUAUAUCGCAGGGGACACUGAAAUGCGUUGGAUCCUCCCUCUUCCUCAAGAGUAAAUGGGGUGUAGGCUACCGUUUAAGCAUGGACAUAAAACCAUCCGGUAACGUAGAAGCGAUUUCAUCACUGAUCUCACAACAUAUCCCAAGGGCGACUCUGAUGCUGCAGACGGAGAAUUGCCUCAUCUACACCUUACCUCUGAAAGACGUGGACAUAUUCCCAGGAUUAUUUUCAGCGCUGGACAAUGACUGCAGCUUAGGUGUGGUGACUUACGGAGUUUCCAUAACCACACUGGAAGACGUCUUCUUCAAACUGGAUUUAGACACCGACAUGGAUCAGUCAGAUCACAGCAUUUUCUCGCAGAGAAUAGAAGACGAUGGGAAGUGGAAAUCCACAGAUGAGAUUGACCAAGGUUUACUGACCAUGCCUGAAUCUCACCCCUGCACCGUCAGUGGCAAGGCACUAUGGAGGCAGCAGGUCGCAACGAUAGCCAAGUUACACUUCCGUAAUCUGCGCCGAGAAACAAAGUCUGUUCGAUACGUGUCGCUCUUUCUCUUUCUGUUCUUAGCCGUCCAAGCAGCCAUCAAUAUCAUCCACUGGUACCACCACAAAUCCUCCGACGACAUCAGACUCUCGCCUGACCUGUAUUUCCUGCGUCCAGGACAGAAGAGCCAGAAGCAUGUGACCAGUCUUCUGGUGCAGAGCUCCACAGGUGACAAUAUUGAGCCCUUAGUCGAGGCCCUGAGGACCCAGAAGAUAAAGGUGGAUCUGAUGAAUGGAAGCGACUACAUUUCCGUUGCUCCUCACAAUGGCGCCUUGGAUGUCUCCAGCUCAGGAAAGUAUUACACGUAUGAAGCCGUAUUUAACAGCAGCAUGGUGCACUCUCUGCCCGUCCUCAUUAACACCAUCAGUAACACCCUGCUCAGACAGCUGCACAUCAAUGAGAGCAUCCAGGUGUGGAGCAGCCCGUUUCCUCAGGAAUACUUGGAGAUUACGUUCAAGACCACGCUGUAUUUCCUGGUCAUUUACCUGGGAAUCAUAGCUGCGGGCAUGCUGCCGUAUUUUGCAAUGGAAAACACAUACAACCAUAAGGUGAAAGCCUGCACCCAGCUGAAGAUGUCUGGACUUUACCAGUCGGCCUAUUGGGUGGGUCAGGCCGCAGUGGAUUUGCCCCUGUACUUUAUCAUCCUCGUCAUAAUGCUGGGAACCCUAUUCAUCUUCAAUAAGGGAAUCCACCUGUACAUCGGGACGUUUUUUACCUUGACAUUCUGCUUAAUCGGCUUUGUUCCCGCGUCUGUGCUCCUGACCUACGUCGUAUCCUUCACCUACAAGCAAAUCAGCGACACCAGGCAGUGGUGGUCAAUAUUGUUCUCGAUGACGGGCCUCAUCACUAUCACUAUCAUCGAGCUGGCUUCAGUCAUAGGCAACGAUUUGAUCUCCACCAUUUGUCACGAUCUUUUUUCCAUAUUUAUUCCCAUCUACCCCCUUAUCGGUGUCCUGAUCUGCUUUUCAAGGAUGUCUUGGAAAGUUUCAAGCGAUGAAAACAGCUACACGCAAUUGGGACGAGUGCUGGUGUCUGUUAUAUCUCCUUAUCUGCAGUGUGUGAUCCUGCUCCUCAUUCUGCGCUACCUGGAGGUAAAGAACGGAGGCAAAUCCAUCAGGAAAGAUCCUAUUUUCAGGACAAAGGAUAAAAAAAACAAGAUGUGGAAGUUCAGCGAGGUUCCUGAAGAUGAAGACGAGGAUGUGCGGGUGGAGAGAGCUCGAGUGGGCGAAUAUAUGACCUCGAACUGUUACGAGAAACCUGCCAUCAUGAUUAGUGGUUUACAUAAGGAAUAUCAGGAGAGAGGCAAAACCAUCAUUGGAAAGGCAAUGAGAAAGCUGGUGGCCAAUAAUAUAUCGUUCUGUGUAAGAAAAGGGGAGAUUCUCGGAUUGGUGGGGCCUAACGGAGCAGGGAAGAGCACGUUACUAGACAUGAUGGUGGGUCAGACAGAGCCAAAUGCCGGACAGAUACUGAUCGGCGAUACGGACUCUGCAGAACGAGGGGUUAAUCCGGUACGAUUUGUGGGGUAUUCUCCUCAAGUAAACCAUCUCUGGCCUGAGAUCAAGCUAGAGGAACACCUAGAAACCUACGGAUCCAUCAAAGGCAUGAGCAAAAGCAACCUGAAAGAAGUCAUAAAAAGGAUAGCAGAAACUCUAGACAUGAAGGAGGAUCUCCAUAAACCAGCUAAGAAGCUCUCCACGGGAACCCAGCGCAAGUUGUGCUUUGCGCUCAGCAUGCUGGGUAAUCCUGACGUGGUUCUACUGGACGAGCCUUCCAACGGCAUGGACUCCAAGGCGAAGCAGCGCAUGUGGAAAGUGAUACGGUCUACAUUCAAAGGCAAAGAACAGGCGGCGGUGCUAACCACACAUUUCAUGGAGGAGGCGGAAGCUGUGUGCGACCGGGUGGCUAUUAUAGUGUCCGGGCAGCUGAGAUAUAUUGGGUCAGUUCAGCACCUGAAGAGCAAGUUUGGUCGGCAUUUCUCUCUAGAUCUGAAGCUUGAUGCGGACUCUGGGUUGCAGCAGAUGGAGCUUCUACACCGGGAGGUUCUGAAGCACUUCCCUAAUGCCUCCCGCCAGGACAGCUUUGCUUCGUUGAUGACUUACAAAGUUCCUAAAAGUGAUGUCCAGUCCCUCUCACAGGCAUUCUUCAAUCUGGAGCAAGUGAAGCGUUCUUUUAACGUGGAGGAGUACAGCUUUUCUCAGUCAACACUUGAACAGGUGUUCAUUGAACUCGCCAAGGAACAGGAAGAAGACGACAGUUUUGGCACCAUGAACAGCACCCUCUGCUGGAACAGGAGACAGGAGGAUACAGUUGCCUUCUGAGCGCUGGAUCAGUGACCACUCCCUUGCAAGUGUGUUAAGCAGAGCUUGCCCCAGGGACCAACGGUGCAUUGUUUGUGGUGCGGUGUCGCUGACCCCCUCCGGCCGAGAACUCGCUCUGUCUGUAUACCCCGAGCGCUGAGCUUACCUGGAACCAGGAGGGUUGUGAAAUUCAGGUUUCCAAGGGUUCACAAGCACCUGAUCAGUAAUUUAGUGCUUUAACGUGUUGCAGGCGUCCCGGCACUGUGACUACUCCCAUCGUCUUGUAGAAUAUAUUACCAGGAUGAAUUCUGUGCGCUUAUGUUGUAUUACCUCAAGUCUUCCUUCUAUUACUGUGAGGUCUAUCGGGGUCUCUGUCCCUCAUGUCGAGCAGUGGUGUGGACAUGAACAGCGCUCCCUUUCCGUCCUCCUUCGGCUGCGGUCUGUUCGUGAGAACCAAAUUUAGAAAGUUAGAAGUAGUUAGCGCCAUUUACUUUACGGAUCCCUUUGGCAAGCAUAUUACUAGGAUCCUAAGUUAUCCCCUGCCCACAGGAUAGGUGAUAUGUCUGGUGGAGGUCGGAAUGCUAAGACCACCAUGAGGAUGGCGACCCCCCCUUUGAAUGGAGCGGCGGUCGAGCAUGCAAAGUCUGGGGGACGGAUACCAAUCACUGUACUCGCCUAUCUCGGUCAGUCCCUUAGAGCUUGGAUGGAGCGGCAGCACCCAUCCAUGACCAUCACGAAUGGGGGGAUCGGUGCUGGGACCACCACAGAUCAGACACUUAUCACCAAUCCUUAGGAAGGUGAUAAGUCAUUAUUCUCAGAAACUUCCGAUUAGAAAAACAUGGCUUCCUUCUUCCAGAAUUAGCGCCCCACCUGUCAGUGGGCUGUAUGUGGUAUUGCUGCUCAGCUCCAUUGAAGUGAUGAGGGGCAGUACGGAAGAAAGCAGCCGUGUUUUCCUAACUGUGUGCCAUGGGUGCCCCCUAUGUACCUUCCAUCUGUUAGCAAUUUAAGGGGGUAUUCUUAUCUUAUAUACUGAUGGCAUAUCACUAGAAUGUGCCAUCAAUUUAUGAUUGCGGGGGUCCGACCCGCGGGACCUCCAGUCUUUCCCUGCCCAGGUCACCCGUUAUGCAGGGGAAGUCAGUACAACCCUAUUAAAGUAAAUGGGGACCACAGUUCCCUAUACAACCUGGUGGCCGAGAACGCUGCUGUGCAGAGAAAAGCAGUGGGCUGUGGGGGAGUUUGGAUCCCCACGAUCAUAAAGGAAUUGCCUAAUCUAGGGAUAUACCAUUGCUUUCCAAGAAUACCCCUUUAAGGAAUAGGAUUGUAUCACGCUGCGCCAUCUGCUAUGACCAGUUCAGCCACUGGGUGGCAGCAGUGUGCAGCCUUUACCCCCAACUCCCCUUAGCAUCAGCUAAUUUAACCCUUUUCGAUCUCCAUGUUUAAAGCGCACUUGAAUGUCCAAGUGUUUCAUGGCUGAAACACAAAUUCUGCACUGAAAAUAAGGUUGUUGUUUUUUUUUAAUUAAUGGAGUGUAUAAUGUCAUAACGGACUGUACAGGAGACAUAAGGGUCAUGUGAAAUCUCUCUCGUCCAUCUUGUUAGUACAGUAUAUAUAUAUAUCAUUUUUUUUUUUGUAUGUUUCUCUUAGUCGCUGCAUUCACAUGUCAGACCUUCACACAUCUGUGCCUGCAAGACUUUGCUAUGCAAGAUUACGAGCAAAGACACAGCAGCGGAGAACGAUCCCGCUGGUGUGAUCCCUCCCGUAGAGGGUAAGGAUAGACUAGGCGCAAUGUAGACCAAAGCAGAGAAUCACCGUUAUUACGGAAUAUCCAAAAUGACAGAGAUUUUCCAGGUUUUAUGUAAAUGAAAUGUAAUGAUUGUAUAAUAAGCGUUCCCGAGACCUAUGCUUGCUGUCAAUGAAUGUAAACAUUCUCUUUUAGAUCUAGGAGAUGAAAGCUUGUCCUAGCUGCAGGGCUGUUUAAAGGGAUACUCCUAUCUUAUAGGCUAUGUGCAGACGACCGUAUCUGUUUUACAGUUUGCAAACGGCAGAUCCGCAGAAUAUGGAUUGCUGGCCGCUUUUUAAUCAGUCUUUAUCGAAGAAAAAGCUA